rnacentral:misc_RNA from 1 species
CACAACCUGCCAUAUAACAGGCUGCAAGUUACCUUUAUCGCCUACCUGUCUCCUUCUACGGCGCCAGUGCAACCGAUACUGCUCUGACAUCGCCGGGCCGCAGCAAUUCCGCGUGCGGCAACAACUAGGAGACCACGGAUAUGGCCAAUGGCACCGUGAAAUGGUUCAACACCACCAAAGGCUACGGCUUCAUCGCACCUGAAGACGGCGGCAAAGACGUUUUCGUACACAUUUCUGCUGUUGAGCGUUCGGGCCUGACCGGUCUGGCUGACAACCAGAAAGUGACCUACGAACUGCGCUCGGGCCGUGAUGGCCGCGAAAGCGCGGUAGAUAUCGCACUGGCCUAAGGGCAAGUGAAAAUGGGCCGGGUUUUCCGGCCCAUUGCU